rnacentral:misc_RNA from 1 species
UUUCCGUAGGUGAACCUGCGGAAGGAUCAUUAGUGAAGCUCGGAAUGCCAGUCCGGUACUGCAGCUGCCCAGCAAUGGGAUGUGCUCGUCUGGGCUGGUGUCCCUUCUCUAUUCCACCCCAUUGUGAACCAAGCGUGCGAGCAGAAGAGAGAUCGGAAGCUCGCAUGCUCACUUUAACAUACCCCUGAUUAAGUAUCUGAAUGUACCUUGCGUUAACUCGCACAAAUACAACUUUCAACAACGGAUCUCUUGGCUCUCGCAUCGAUGAAGAACGCAGC